GAUGAACGCUGGCGGCGUGCCUAAUACAUGCAAGUCGAGCGAACAGACGAGGAGCUUGCUCCUCUGACGUUAGCGGCGGAUGGGUGAGUCACACGUGGAUAACCUACCUAUAUGACUGGGAUAACUUCGGGAAACCGGAGCUAAUACCGGAUAGCAUGUUGACCCGCAUGGAUUAACAGUGACAGACGAUCUUGCCGUCACUUAUAGAUGGCUCCGCGCCGCAUUAGCUAGUUGGUAAGGUAACGGCUUACCAAGGCCACGAUGCGUAGCCGACCUGAGAGGGUGAUCGGCCACACUGGAACUGAGACACGGUCCAGACUCCUACGGGAGGCAGCAGUAGGGAAUCUUCCGCAAUGGGCGAAAGCCUGACGGAGCAACGCCGCGUGAGUGAAGAAGGUCUUCGGAUCGUAAAACUCUGUUAUUAGGGAAGAACAAAUGUGUAAGUAACUAUGCACGUCUUGACGGUACCUAAUCAGAAAGCCACGGCUAACUACGUG
rnacentral:rRNA from 1 species